rnacentral:rRNA from 1 species
GAGUUUGAUCUUGGCUCAGAUUGAACGCUGGCGGCAGGCCUAACACAUGCAAGUCGAGCGGAUGACGGGAGCUUGCUCCUUGAUUCAGCGGCGGACGGGUGAGUAAUGCCUAGGAAUCUGCCUGGUAGUGGGGGACAACGUUUCGAAAGGAACGCUAAUACCGCAUACGUCCUACGGGAGAAAGCAGGGGACCUUCGGGCCUUGCGCUAUCAGAUGAGCCUAGGUCGGAUUAGCUAGUUGGUGGGGUAAUGGCUCACCAAGGCGACGAUCCGUAACUGGUCUGAGAGGAUGAUCAGUCACACUGGAACUGAGACACGGUCCAGACUCCUACGGGAGGCAGCAGUGGGGAAUAUUGGACAAUGGGCGAAAGCCUGAUCCAGCCAUGCCGCGUGUGUGAAGAAGGUCUUCGGAUUGUAAAGCACUUUAAGUUGGGAGGAAGGGCAGUAAGUUAAUAACCUUGCUGUUUUGACGUUACCGACAGAAUAAGCACCGGCUAACUCUGUGCCAGCCGCCGACGG